CAUUUCCCUUACAACCCUUCGAAACUCAUUGGCUUGGGAAAGACCUGCAAUUUUGGAUUUCCCCUCUUGUUUGUGACAGGAAACGGACAAGAAUUCUGCAUGUCAAGUGUUUGAAGAUAUUUCCGAGAGACAACCCAUCAACCCAUCAAACCAUCAACCCAGUGUUGUUGAAAAACUUAUUGUAUAUUAACCUCUUAUAAAAUGACUAUUCUGUUUGUAAUAGAGCAUAAAAGUUUUUAAGAAUUCAAAUGAGACAUUGUAAAGGGAAGGGAGUGUCACUACAAGAAAUUAGUCUUAUAGAGAAUAAGAAUAAGAAUGAUGAAUGAAUCGUCUCUCACUAGGCCAUAUGUAUGUAGUAUUGCUAUCAAACUCUUGAGAUUUUAAUGACAAUAACUUGCCUACUACUCAACUAAUGGCGGUAGUAGUAGGAAUGACGAUUUUUAAACUUCUAACAAUUGAUCUUAAACAUUAGGAAUGACAAUUUUUAAACUUUCCCCUCUUGCGAAUCACAAGAGUUAAUGUCCAUGCUAGUUUCACCUCCCUUUUCCAA